rnacentral:rRNA from 1 species
UACGUAGGGUGCAAGCGUUGUCCGGAAUUAUUGGGCGUAAAGAGCUCGUAGGCGGUCUGUCGCGUCGGCUGUGAAAACCCGGAGCUCAACUCCGGGCCUGCAGUCGAUACGGGCAGACUGGAGUUCGGCAGGGGAGACUGGAAUUCCUGGUGUAGCGGUGAAAUGCGCAGAUAUCAGGAGGAACACCAAUGGCGAAGGCAGCUCGCUGGGACGGUACUGACGCUGAGGAGCGAAAGCGUGGGGAGCGAACAGG